UUCUAGCGUACAUCCUAAAGGCUAUUGCAUCAUUUCGGCUACCUAAAUUUCAGAGGCAUGACUGUCUCACAAACAAAGAAAAUACUUGUGUAGCUGGAGAAUUUGUCAUGCGUUAGAGCGGAGUACUUCCAGGGGAAGGUGUUCGCUCCUGUACUCCUACACAAAGCCUCCCAAAAUUCAUGGACACGUGCCAUCUCUUGACCGGGACGCUCCUCAAGAAAGACCUAUACCGACGCGCACGUGAGAGCAACUAACGAGGAAAGAAGCGAGACGCAUUCCAAAAAAUGGAACAAUUGGGAUCGAAAGCUAAUUUCGGCUUUGCAUGGGAAUUAAGCUCUUCCAGCGGGGAGCGAAAAUAGCUCGUGGGCGAUGCCCGGCGUCGAUCCUGCGGACUAGCGAGAGGUGUUUCGCCCUCUUCGCCCGCGGCCAAGCAGGAGGCAGGUCGUCGACGUACGGCCGUACGGACCGGCGGGGUCUCAACCGUGCCAGGAUCCAGGCGCGUGCCCUGGAGAACAACCUCUCCCGCGGCUUGGAAAGAUAAGCUGCGACAAACCUAAAAAGACCCCAGUUUUAAAACUUCUCGCAUGGAGACUUGUACAACACAUCUUUGUUACCUGGACGUCUAUAAUGAGCCCAGUGUCAGAGGCAGAAUAUUCAAGGUGGCUAUUUUCUAGGAGCUUGUACUUCAGGCCAGGAUUAAGACACUCUUUUUGUCGAGUAAUAAAACCAUUGAAAGUGGGAUUUCUGUUUUUGUUAACAAGCUUGUGGAACUCAUUGCCUAAAGAUUUUGUGGAGGUUGAAAACUUACUGGAAUUCAGAAUAGGAUUGAGCGUCAACAUGGUCAAUGAGAACGAGAGAGGCAGAACAGGAAGGAUAAAAAUAUUUUGGGAGGGAUACAAUCCUGCCUGCUUCGGGGCAUCAAUUGGCUUCCAACUAAUGGAGUUUAACUCGAAUCAAACAAAUAGUGCAGGACAUCAAGGAUUCAGCUUCAAACUUCAGGAAACAAAUGGAUAGGUUGUGCCACAACAACAAAAUGGGGUUUCUCAGCAUAGGCGUGCAGACUUGCCCUCUCCUGACACCCAUGUCCACGGUAUAAUCCGUGCCAAACUACAUUAACAACAUAGCUGAUAGAUCCCAACAUUUUUGUGACAUGCAGUAGAGGUUUAAUAAAAGAGCUACCAAAUUAACAAGGGCCUUUUUUUUUUCGCAAGAAGUCUUUUUCUUUUUUUUUGCAUUAAGUUCCCUUCUGCAGUGGUUGUGCACACAGGAUGUUACACACAGUAUUGGAAGCCAGGGCUCCAGGUUUCUGUUCCUGGCUCUCCCACUAAUUUGCUGUAUGGCCUUGGCCAAUUCACUUAUCCUUUCUGAGCUAUCGCAUGCCCAGCUGUAAACUGAAGGCAGUAUUUACAGGAUAUCCUUCACCAGGAAUCUUAGUUAAUUUAGGCCCAAACCUGUACUACGCAAUCCAAUGGGAAUUUAGAGUUCUAGAGAUUUGAGGUUCUCAGCUUAAAAUUGUUAUAGUCUCAUUCCUGCUUACAACUUUAUUUUCUAGUUUUAA